AGGUUUUUGACUGCUGGGGUGUGGCGCUUGAAAACAAGGCCUACAUGCUCUACUCAACUAAGGACUUCACUCCCGCUCAACACCAAGCCACCAAAGACCUUCUUGAGUGCUUUAAAGGCACCGAAGCGGCGGAUCUACCAGCGCAGUCCCUCGAUGACCUCGCUUCACUUUGGAGUCAGUACACGAAGUCGACGGGCCGGUGAAAUACGCGAAGCAGCGCAAAAGAAAAAGAAACAGCAAUAAAGAA